ACGCUCGACACCUACGGGAGACAGCAGUGGGGAAUAUUGCACAAUGGGGGAAACCCUGAUGCAGCGACGCCGCGUGAGUGAAGAAGUAUUUCGGUAUGUAAAGCUCUAUCAGCAGGGAAGAAAAUGACGGUACCUGACUAAGAAGCCCCGGCUAACUACGUGCCUGCAGCCGCGGUAAUCUGAGCGGGCUGGCAAGGC
rnacentral:rRNA from 1 species